GCAGAAGAGGACGUGGAGGGAUUGACGAUCAAUUGCUCUAGCUGUGCAAAUUGGCGAUGUGCCUGAAAUAGUGUCGGGAGGCUGGGGUUGUGCCCGACGGACCCUCCAACAUCUUGGUCAUAAUGAUUCUCGGCUGAACCCAACGUUAGUCCAAAGCACCGAGCACGAUCCUGGCCUCCCGACACUGGUUCAAGCAUGUUGCCAAGUCAUGCAGCGAUCCCUCUCGCUCGGUGCCCCGAUCGAUUCUCAACGGCAACAAUUGCCUCUAUAAGAAGUGUCAACUUUUGUGUUUUGAGCAUUCCUCAUCGGCAAUUGUAUUAGUAAAACUACUGUUUAUCUUCUUCCUUC